rnacentral:rRNA from 1 species
GACGAACGCCGGCGGCGUGCUUAACACAUGCAAGUCGAACGGAAAGGCCCUGCUUUUGUGGGGUGCUCGAGUGGCGAACGGGUGAGUAACACGUGAGUAACCUGCCCUUGACUUUGGGAUAACUUCAGGAAACUGGGGCUAAUACCGGAUAGGAGCUCCUGCUGCAUGGUGGGGGUUGGAAAGUUUCGGCGGUUGGGGAUGGGCUCGCGGCUUAUCAGCUUGUUGGUGGGGUAGUGGCUUACCAAGGCUUUGACGGGUAGCCGGCCUGAGAGGGUGACCGGCCACAUUGGGACUGAGAUACGGCCCAGACUCCUACGGGAGGCAGCAGUGGGGAAUAUUGCACAAUGGGCGGAAGCCUGAGGCAGCAACGCCGCGUGCGGGAUGACGGCCUUCGGGUUGUAAACCGCUUUCGCCUGUGACGAAGCGUGAGUGACGGUAAUGGGUAAAGAAGCACCGGCUAACUACGU